rnacentral:rRNA from 1 species
UACAGAGGUCCCAAGCGUUGUUCGGAUUCACUGGGCGUAAAGGGUGCGUAGGCGGUCGGGUAAGUCUGAUGUGAAAUCUCACAGCUUAACUGUGAAACUGCAUUGGAUACUAUCCGGCUAGAGGAAUGGAGGGGAGACUGGAAUACUUGGUGUAGCAGUGAAAUGCGUAGAUAUCAAGUGGAACACCGGUGGCGAAGGCGGCUAUCUGGACCGUAACUGACGCUGAGGCGCGAAAGCGUGGGGAGCAAACAGG